AUGGAUGGACAAAACUGGUUUUCUCAAUGAUCCUCCAGAUGGAUUUGAAAUCUGAGAUCAUUGUGAAAGCUGAUUUUGUUGU
rnacentral:pre_miRNA from 1 species